GGCGGCAUGCCUAACACAUGCAAGUCGAACGGUAACAGGUCUUCGGAUGCUGACGAGUGGCGCACGGGUGAGUAACGCGUGGAUAUCUGCCUAUGAGUGGGGGACAACUUUCGGAAACGAAAGCUAAUACCGCAUAAUCUCUACGGAGCAAAGCAGGGGACCUUUCGGGGCCUUGUGCUUAUAGAUGAGUCCGCGUCAGAUUAGCUAGUUGGUGGGGUAAGAGCCUACCAAGGCGAUGAUCUGUAGCUGGUUUGAGAGGAUGAUCAGUCACACUGGAACUGAGACACGGUCCAGACUCCUACGGGAGGCAGCAGUGGGGAAUUUUGCACAAUGGGCGCAAGCCUGAUGCAGCGAUGCCGCGUGUGGGAAGAAGGCCUUUGGGUUGUAAACCACUUUCAAUUGGGAAGAAGGGAUGAGUAUUAAUAAUACUCUGACUUGACGGUACCUUUAGAAGAAGCACCGGCUAAUUUCGUGCCAGCAGCCGCGGUAAUACGAAAGGUGCAAGCGUUGUUCGGAUUUACUGGGCGUAAAGAGAUCGUAGGUGGUUUGUUAAGUUAGAUGUGAAAUCCCGGGGCUCAACCUCGGAACUGCAUCUAAAACUGGCAGACUUGAGUUCGGGAGGGGUAAGCGGAAUUCCGUGUGUAGCAGUGAAAUGCGUAGAUAUACGGAGGAACACCUGAGGCGAAGGCGGCUUACUGGACCGAUACUGACACUGAGGAUCGAAAGCGUGGGUAGCAAACAGGAUUAGAUACCCUGGUAGUCCACGCCCUAAACGAUGUCAACUAGCCGUUGCGGGUAUCGACCCCUGCAGUGGCGCAGCUAACGCGAUAAGUUGACCGCCUGGGGAGUAC
rnacentral:rRNA from 1 species